UUUUAUUUUUCUCAUAGACUUAAACAUCCCCAUUUCUUUCACUUGAUGCUCACAUAGCAUAUAGCCCAGUCUUUUUGUAAUCUUUCUAUUUAAAAUCAUAAAACCAGAGAUGGAAUGGACCAGGGAGGUCAUGUAGUUGUGGACAAUCAAUGAAGGCUCAGGCAGCUUAUGUGUACUUGCCCAAGGUCAAAUGAGAAUUGAAUAUGAAUAUUCAAGAUAUGAAUUAGGAUAUGAACUCAGGUCUUCUGAGCCAAAUUCUCCCUCUUUCCACUGUCUCAUUCUGCCUUUUUUACAACAUCAUUCCUAAAGUCCGUGGCCUGUUCCCCAGCAAUGGUUGGCUCAGGCACAGGGUAACUCUCUUGCUCUGGCCACCAGAUUUCUGUGGAUGCAGCCAGAGCCCAAAUCAUCGAUUUUUGCUUUUGAAUCAUUCAUGUGGAGGGCAGCCUGGCCUAGUGAUCUUUUCCUUCCUGAGGUUGAGCAGUGGCUACUUUUCUCUCCUCUGGCCUUUCUUCCCACUCCAGGCCAAAUCUGGACAGCUCUUCUGGGAAGAUCUCAAGCCAGGGAUUCUCUGAGUUGUGGUGGGCUAGUGUGUCAGAAUUCUCCCUAAUUCAGGGUCAGGAUCAUAGGCCUGGGAGCUUAGAGAGAUCUUAGAAAUCAACCGUGCAACCCCUUUAUUUUAUAGGGCAGGGGUGGAACUUGAGCUCAUGUUUUUCGACUUGGAAUUUGGUGCUCUUGCUUUUGGUCCCCUAUUUGAAUUGUUACACUCACUGCUUCUUCUUUUUGCAGAAUUUAACUCCACACUUCUCUGAUGCUCCCAAGAUGCCACACGAACAAGACUUCACUGAAAACAGACCUGCAAAGGGAUUGCAGUCAGCAGUACAAAUCUGAAGGCCAUGGCUCAGUUAAUGUAUUGCAAAAAUGGACUUGCUGGGAGUCAAGAGGUCUGUGUUCAAAUUCUCCCUCAGCUUCUUCACUUGAAAUGUGUCUUUGGGUCAGAGUGGAUUAAUGGAAAGAGCCUUGGGCUUGGAAUCUGAAGACCUUAUUUGGAAUUUUGGCUCUGCUGCUUCCUUCCAGGGAGAUUUGGAAUCCAAUGGAGAAAUUUUUGGUGGUCUGUGCAGUUGAAGGGAAGCACUGGAGAAAUCUUUGUCCAUGUUUCCAUUUGGAAUGUUCUGUGAGUCUUCAGGACUCUACUGGAGAAAUGUAUAUACAUUGAAGAAAACCAUUAGCAGAAUUUUCAUCUAGAACACAAACAGCUGUUUUUCACAUGAAGGGGUUUUGAUCUAGGAUAAGUAAAAACCCGCCCAUUGGCUUACAUAAAAAAGCAAGUUUGUCCCUACUUUGAAGCAGUAGAAAAGAAACUCUCUUCUUGAAGGUGUUCUCAUUCUUAAAGAUUCACCCUUGCACCUACUGAAGAAUGCACAAAGGGAAGAAAAUGCCUCUUCUCCCUCUCUCCUCUCUAUUCCCCUCCAGUCAACAGUGAGAUAUUGUGGCAGAAAUAUGUGACUAUAGGAGAUAUGUGCUUGCAUAUGAUCUGAGAGGGAAAUUCAAGAUCAUAGACCUUGACCUCUAACCUUCUGUGAAGAGAGUCAAGGGGAAGAAAGAUAGAGGAGGAAGAGAAAGAGAAGAAAGAGGAGGAGGAAGAGGUGGAGGAGAAAAAGAAGGAGGAGAAGGAGGAGGAGAGAAGGAGGAGGAAGAGGAAAAGAGAAGGAAGAGAGGAGGAGAAGAAGGAGGACAGGAGGAAGAGGAGGAGGAGAAAUAGAAGGAGGAUUAUCCUGGAUGGAGACUAGAGCUGGAUCCUUUCAUUUGGGAGAUAGCAGCCUUCAGAGCUGAGAAUCUGAAGCUUCCCACUCUGGAGUCUUCCCAUUGGUCCUAAGGUAAGAGUUCUAAUUCUUUCUGAAAGAGCCUGGUAAUUCCCUAGCCAAGGAUUUCUGCUAAGGACAGAGAAAACUGGGAAGAUUUAUAUAAACUGAUAUAGAGUAACAUGA